rnacentral:ncRNA from 1 species
GCAAAGGCGAUGACAGAGUAAAGUAGACUGCAGGCUGAUUUUCAGGGAGGAAGGGUCGCUGACUGGGAGCCCUUCUAAGGAGGCGGCGGUUGAAGUUCCCUCUUGAGCUGUCGGCUGAACAAGAAAAAGUAGGCUGGAACGGUUCUUCCCCGUUAAAAGGAAGGGGGUAUCGGAUUGUUGGUCCCGUACCUUUAUUGAGCGGGCAAUUUUUGCCAAGCAGGGUGGUAACGCGAGCUUCUCGUCCCUUAG